GUUCGGAUUGUAGGCUGCAACUCGCCUACAUGAAGUUGGAUUCGCUAGUAAUCGUGCAUCAGCCACGGCACGGUGAAUACGUUCCCGAACCUUGUACUCGGGACGCUGCGCGAUUGUGGAAGCUAGUCCGUAAAAUCGGACUGCAGCAAAACAUAG
rnacentral:ncRNA from 1 species